GAUUUCUGGCUUGAAACAUUCUACCAGCCACGGUUUCGUGUGUUCGUGUAGUAUGUUCUGGCCAUCCUUCCAAUUGCUAUGCUACUUUUCUUCAUUGAUUGGUACAUAGUAUUGGAUCUUUUACUUUGAAAAAAUUAGAGUGUUUCAAGCAGGCUUAAUGCUAUGAAUACAUUAGCAUGGAAUAAUAAUUUAGGACUUCGGUCUUAUUUUGUUGGUUUCUAGGACUGAAGUAAUGAUUGAUAGGGAUAGUUGGGGGUGCUAGUAUUCAGUGGCCAGAGGUGAAAUUCUUGGAUUCACUGAAGACUAACUUAUGCGAAAGCAUU
rnacentral:rRNA from 1 species